rnacentral:lncRNA from 1 species
GCCCAUCCAUCCAAGUCGGCUUCCCCCCCACACCACCUCCCCCCGAAAAUCACUUUUCUUUCUGUUUUUUUUCCAUUACGUUUUGAGUUAAAGACAGGGCUUUAACACUCCUGUUCCUUGCUGUUUUCAGUUUUUACAAAGAAAAAAAGAAAUAAUUUAAAAAACAAUAAAGGUUGAAAGUAUUGCCUGUUUCUCUCACAAGCUUGGUCUUUCCUUUUGUGGGGUCCCUCCGGGCUGCGGCACCCUUCCUUCCAGGAGCGGGGAGUCCCCCCCCCCUUCCCCGAGAUCCGGUCCGGAGUUUACCAGCUGCGGGCUCCUGCGUGUGCUGCCUGCGAACAGCGGAAUGUUAUUAAAAUAUCCAGGUUAAAAAUCAGGUGUUUUCCUGAUGGGCAAGGGGUUGUUUUGUGUUUUGUUCCCGGGAGCUUCUCCGGGGGCAGUCUGCCCAAAGAGCCUGCAGCUGGGAAAACCCGAACUGGAUCGCCCCCCCGCUGUGCAUCGGGAGUCCGCGUUCCCAGCCCGGCUUCCUGCCUCAUCCCUGCGCUUUUCCCCCGUCUCCCUGACUCUCGGGGUCGCUUCUCCGUUUCCUAAACGUCCCACUACCCCAGCUGGGGCUCUGUGCACUCGACUCCUUUGUUUGCUCUUCCAAUUAAUUCAGCUCUGUGACGAAACACCGGGUGCCAUCAAAGUCCCGGACUGGAACGGGC